rnacentral:misc_RNA from 1 species
UCUUGGUUGGGUUAGCAAACCCAACUAAGACCUCCACAAAGAAAGAAAGAAAUAAAGGAAAAUAAAUUUAAAGAUUAUUUUCUUUUUUUGCUUUCUUUUUCUUUUUUCCCAUUUUAGGAUUUUCUUACAUGCAAGUUUAAUGACAAUAACUAUUUGUCCUGCUAAAAACAAUUUUCCAUUGGCAUCCUCCUCUGCAUUAAUGCAAUCUAAUUAGGAGAAUCCCCAUGCUGUGUCCAACCAACAGGCUUGUGCUGCGUCCCCACUUUGAAUGAACCAACACUUCUUCGUCAAAAAAAAAAAAAAAAAAAAAAAAAAAAAAAACCACACCCCACCUGUGACCCCCAAACAACUUAAAACUUCAGUAGUAACCAGCCAAUUCUGUUGUUUGAUUCAUAUGCUAUGUUCUUUCAACACGUAACUUUUGAAUGUGACGCAGACGGGAUAUAAGUUGUGAAAAUGAGGGUCGUAAGUGCGGCUCCCUUUGCCAACAAUCGUGUAUUAUCUGGGCAAUGGCUGGAUCAACAUCCUCUGGAAUCUCAAGCCGCUUAUUUUGGAAUCCCACAGCUCCCACAACCUGCAUCGGAUUCAAGCCUUUCCAUGGGAUUUGACAGGUGGCCAACUCCCAUAAUAUCACACCAAAACUAUACACAUCACAUUUUUCGUUUGCUAGUUCAUUCCUUAGGACUUCAGGUGCCAUCCAUUCAGGUGUUCCAGCAGUAGACUUUGAAGACAGAAAAGUAUGGUGCUUCAUGCGUGACAAUCCAAAAUCAGAGACCUUAACAACCCAGUUUUUGUCAACAAGGAGAUUUGGAGACUUUAAAUCUCGAUGCACUAUGGGAGGAUGGCUUGUGUGCAAGUAAUU